rnacentral:rRNA from 1 species
UACAGAGGUCUCAAGCGUUGUUCGGAUUCAUUGGGCGUAAAGGGUGCGUAGGUGGCGGGGUAAGUCUGGUGUGAAAUCCUGGGGCUCAACCCCGGAACUGCACUGGAUACUGCUUUGCUAGAGUACUGGAGAGGGAACUGGAAUUUACGGUGUAGCAGUGAAAUGCGUAGAUAUCGUAAGGAAGACCAGUGGCGAAGGCGAGUUCCUGGACAGUUACUGACACUGAGGCACGAAGGCCAGGGUAGCAAACGGG